GCUGUCUUAGCUCAGUUGGUAGAGUGCGUGGCUUUCCGCCACGAGGGCGUGGGUUCGAUUCCCACAGACGGGA